AGGAUAGUAGUUAAUUAUAACAUUUGAAUUGCACUCAAAAAGUAUUGAAUUUUCAAUCUAUCUUG
rnacentral:tRNA from 5 species